rnacentral:rRNA from 1 species
UACGGGGGGGGCAAGCGUUGUUCGGAAUUACUGGGCGUAAAGGGCUCGUAGGUGGCCAACUAAGUCGGACGUGAAAUCCCUCAGCUUAACUGGGGAACUGCGUCCGAUACUGGAUGGCUUGAGUUUGGGAGAGGGAUGCGGAAUUCCAGGUGUAGCGGUGAAAUGCGUAGAUAUCAGGAGGAACACCAAUUGCGAAGGCAGCUCGCUGGGACGUUACUGACGCUGAGACGCGAAAGCGUGGGGAGCAAACAGG